UCUUGGUCAUUUAGAGGAAGUAAAAGUCGUAACAAGGUCUCCGUUGGUGAACCAGCGGAGGGAUCAUUACCGAGUUUACAACUCCCAAACCCCUGUGAACAUACCACUUGUUGCCUCGGCGGAUCAGCCCGCUCCCGGUAAAACGGGACGGCCCGCCAGAGGACCCCUAAACUCUGUUUCUAUAUGUAACUUCUGAGUAAAACCAUAAAUAAAUCAAAACUUUCAACAACGGAUCUCUUGGUUCUGGCAUCGAUGAAGAACGCAGCAAAAUGCGAUAAGUAAUGUGAAUUGCAGAAUUCAGUGAAUCAUCGAAUCUUUGAACGCACAUUGCGCCCGCCAGUAUUCUGGCGGGCAUGCCUGUUCGAGCGUCAUUUCAACCCUCAAGCACAGCUUGGUGUUGGGACUCGCGUUAAUUCGCGUUCCUCAAAUUGAUUGGCGGUCACGUCGAGCUUCCAUAGCGUAGUAGUAAAACCCUCGUUACUGGUAAUCGUCGCGGCCACGCCGUUAAACCCCAACUUCUGAAUGUUGACCUCGGAUCAGGUAGGAAUACCCGCUGAACUUAAGCAUAUCAAUAAGCGGAGGA
rnacentral:rRNA from 1 species